ACUCUCUCCUUCCCCUAAAUAAAAAAUCUCUGCCAAAAUUGAAAUUUCUCUCCUUCCCCUAAAUCAAAUCUCUCCCAAAAUCAAAUUUGAACCGCCGUUGUCUGUCAUCUACCACCACCACCACCGGCUAUCGUCUACCAAAAAAACUUCGGUUCUCUUCAACUCACCCAAAAAGCCAAAACACAAACAAAACCAAAAACAUUUCCUUCCGAUUCUCUCAAGUUUCCUUCCAUGGCUUUCACCAACUCUCUCUUCUCUUCUUCAACUCUUCCUCUAACUCCACUCACCGAUUCCGAUUUCUCCCCUCUAAUUUCUCACGACUCAUUCAUCUCAAUUUCAGUGGCAAUUUCCCUCCGAUUUCUCACAAUUUCUCUCAACAAUGGCUUCUCCACGCAAGAAAACAGAAGCCAGGAACAUUCUAUAUGCUACCAGUGAUCGUACAAAUGCAGUUAGUUCAACCCAUUGAAGUCAGAAAGAAAAGAAAGAGGAAGAGAGAAAGAAAAUCUGAAGAAGAAAGAAGACAAAGAAAGUAUGCUAUGAUGAUAUCUUUAUGAUUUCUUCUACUUUGGAAGUGUUUGUGUUUAUAUUGGUCCAAUUCAUACAAAUUUAGCUAUUCCAAUUAAAAGAGGUAUUGGCUUAAAGGCUCUCCUAUUUUUAACCUACUACAAUUAGAGUGUGACAAUUUCUCACUUUAAUUUGUUCUUCCUACAUUUCUGACUUUCGUUAUUCUUUAUUCUCUGUGUUUAAGUAUAAAGAACUGCUAUUCUUUGUUCUCUGUCUUUAAGUUUAAAGAACUAUAGAAUUGUGUUUGGUCUGUCUGGAUAUAUAUUUGACUUGAUUUCUGGAUACCCAAGCAUGUGGGAUUUCAUGUUGUAGUUUCUGCAAUUUCUGGGAGAGACUUGCGUUUUUUGCAGGUUAUGCAGAUUUCAUGUUUCUGUAGUGUCUGGGAGAGUGCUUUUUUUUUGCCAGAAGUUGGCUGGAGUGAUGCUGGUGCUUGUUGAGUUUGCUGGAAGUGAUGUUGGUAGUGAUGCUGGAAGUUUGCUGCCCUACUUCUGGUGUGAUUCUGGGACAUUUUUCUGCAGAUUUUUGUUGCUGCAGUGUUGUGUUUGCUGUAGUGUUUUGCCUGCUGGUUGUUAAGUUUUGUUUAAUUGAUUGUUGUCUUCAAAUGGACAGGUUUUGUUUUGUUUUUGUUAAUUUUAUAUUACAUUCAAUCAGAUGUACUACACAACAAUCUGCUAUUUUGAAUAUAUUAUUUGAUACAUGAUAAAUAGA